AACCACUUGGUGAUUUUUUUUAUCUUUUAUACAAAAAUAAAAAAAGUUCAUAAUUGACCCAUUCUAGUUUUUUCUUUGGAAGCAAAACCCUAAACCAAUCGUGAUUUGUUCCUUACCAAGAAUGAAGAGUGACUUUAAAAGGAAAAUGAUAAUUGUUCCAAUUAGGGAGAGAUUGCUUCAUGGACAAGAAAAAUAAUAAAAAAAAGGAAUAAAGGGAAAGAAAGAUGCAAUGAAAAGAAAGAGAAAAAGAAAGAAAGAAAUGAAAAA
rnacentral:lncRNA from 1 species